AUCACAUUUGGCAAUGAGGUCUGCCUUUAACCGCUCAAAAUGAGCUGAUGACUUCUACUGAUAA
rnacentral:ncRNA from 2 species